UCAGGCAUUAAACAUAGACGACCCAUUGGGGUUCUCCUAAGCGGACUUGAUUGCAGGGUGGACUCAAUUUCUUACCACACCAGCACAGUACCUGGAUGGGAGACCGCAUGGGAACACUAGGUUGCUGCCGGAC
rnacentral:rRNA from 1 species